rnacentral:rRNA from 1 species
UGGGGAAUUUUGGACAAUGGGCGCAAGCCUGAUCCAGCAAUGCCGCGUGCGGGAAGAAGGCCUUCGGGUUGUAAACCGCUUUUGGCAGGAACGAAACGGUGUCCGCUAAUACCGGGCGCUAAUGACGGUACCUGCAGAAUAAGCACCGGCUAACCACGUGCCAGCAGCCGCGGUAAUACGUAGGGUGCGAGCGUUAAUCGGAAUUACUGGGCGUAAAGCGUGCGCAGGCGGUUGUGUAAGACAGGCGUGAAAUCCCCGGGCUCAACCUGGGAAUGGCGCUUGUGACUGCACGGCUGGAGUGCGGCAGAGGGGGAUGGAAUUCCGCGUGUAGCAGUGAAAUGCGUAGAUAUGCGGAGGAACACCGAUGGCGAAGGCAAU